rnacentral:rRNA from 1 species
GACGAACGCUGGCGGCGUGCUUAACACAUGCAAGUCGAGCGAUGAAACACCUUCGGGUGCGGAUUAGCGGCGAACGGGUGAGGAACACGUGAGGAAUCUGCCUUCCACUCUGGGAUAACUCCGGGAAACCGGGGCUAAUACCGGAUACUUUCAACUGGCGGCAUCGCCGGUUGAAGAAAGUUUUUCGGUGGAAGAUGACCUCGCGGCCUAUCAGCUUGUUGGUGAGGUAAAGGCUCACCAAGGCGACGACGGGUAGCCGGCCUGAGAGGGCGACCGGCCACACUGGGACUGAGACACGGCCCAGACUCCUACGGGAGGCAGCAGUGGGGAAUAUUGGGCAAUGGAGGAAACUCUGACCCAGCGACGCCGCGUGAGGGAUGAAGGCCUUCGGGUUGUAAACCUCUUUCAGCAGGGAAUAAGCGAAAGUGAAGGUACCUGCAGAAGAAGCACCGGCUAACUAUGUGCCAGCCGCCGCAGUAA